UAACGCGUGGGUAACCUGCCUCAUACAGGGGGAGUAACAGUUAGAAAUGACUGCUAAUACCGCAUAAGCGCACAGUCUCGCAUGGGACAGUGUGAAAAACUCUGGUGGUAUGAGAUGGACCCGCGUCUGAUUAGCUAGUUGGUGAGGUAACGGCUCACCAAGGCGACGAUCAGUAGCCGGCCUGAGAGGGUGAACGGCCACAUUGGGACUGAGACACGGCCCAAACUCCUACGGAAGGCAGCAG
rnacentral:rRNA from 1 species